CAUAUGUUCGAGAUGUAUGAUGUGCAAUGCAGAAAAUGAAGACCUCGCCCACUUUAUAUUGAAUUGCCCAGCUUAUGAAGAAGAAAGACAAGAAUCAAUGCAUCUUCAGAAACCCUAUGCAAAGGAUAUUUUAGGGAUGUUUCUGUUUGAGGAGGAAGAUAUCGAAGAAAAGAAAGAAGUAUUGCUUAAGCUGUGGAAGAAAAGAAGACUGCUGGAAAUAAAACAAACUUCUCCAUCCUAAUUGACCUUCAUCCUCCCAACACCCAAUCCUGUCCCCUAGUGAGAAUCCUAGCCACACAAACCAACCAUAACAAUGCAACCCAUCGAUCAAAGUAAAAGUUAAAGUUUAAGAACUCAAGGAGGUGCCGAUACAAAGGCUAAACCUCCGAUAACCAUCGCAUCGCAUCGCAUCGUUCGGACGACAAUGUGAUGUCAAGGCGAAUCAAGAAGUUCUUCAUGCGAUUCCAACACGCUCCUAAUGUACUGGGAAUGUGGGGAGUGCAGCAGCAUCAGUGCAGCACCAAUGGUCAGAUGCGACGGCUGUGAUAAAUGGUACCACUUCCGUUGCGCGGGACUGUCUAAGGAGCCAGAAACACCGACAUGGCGAUGCAGGUGGUACUGCCUGGUGAGGCCGCGGUCUCCGGAAUCGCCUGCAGACGAAGUCACCUGGCGUCCAUCUGCACAUCACUUGCAGAAGUGAGGCCUGCUGACAGCGUCUGGCAGUGUCGGCAACGUGCCAGACAGCUAUCUGGAGUCCUGCUCACCGCAGGUCGCCGACAGGAGGGGCGACGCAUCGUCUCCGAGGUCGCCUCAGCAUCAGUGAGACCCCACUGGCCGUCUUCUUAGGCUUCAACUAGAUUGCGAACAACCUAUGCUGAGACAACGCCCAUGACGUGUGAUCCGGUACCGCUACCGCACUGCGUGCCUGUGCCCGCCGUGAGCCGCUAGUGCAUGGGUUCGACCAUGAGAAUGUGUGUUUAUGUUGCUUUUACUAUUGUUUAUACGUUGAAGUGACGAAUUGUUUAUUUUUCGCAAGCCUCCGCUGUCCGGUUGCCUGCAGCUCCAUGCAACGUCAGCUGUACUGUUGUUUUAAUGUUGUCUCUCCGCUCAGCUGUACUGUUGCCUCUCCGCUCAUAACAACCUAUGCUGAGACAACGCCCAUGACGUGUGAUCCGGUACCGCUACCGCACUGCGUGCCUGUACCCGUCGCAAGCCUCCGCUGUCCGGUUGCCUGCAGCUCCAUGCAACGCCAGCUGUACUGUUGUUUUAAUGUUGUCUCUCCGCUCAGCUGUACUGUUGCCUCUCCGCUCAUAACAACCUAUGCUGAGACAACGCCCAUGACGUGUGAUCCGGUACCGCUACCACACUGCGUGCCUGUGCCCGCCGUGAGCCGCUAGUGCAUGGGUACGACCAUGAGAAUAUGUGUUUAUGUUGCUUUUUAUACUAUUGUUUAUACGUUGAAGUGACGAAUUGUUUAUUUUUCGCAAGCCUCCGCUGUCCGGUUGCCUGCAGCUCCAUGCAACGCCAGCUGUACUGUUGUUUUAAUGUUGUCUCUCCGCUCAGCUGUACUGUUGCCUCUCCGCUCAUAUAUGACACCCUCUAUAUGAAUGGCACUACUGAUUGUCACACCCACUGUCCGUAUUGUCCGUAGUGGUGUCUACGCCCAUGUUAAUACAGCGUGCAGAAUCCAGA